UACGAGGGGUGCAAGCGUUGCUCGGAAUUAUUGGGCGUAAAGGGUAGGUAGGUGGUCUCAUUUGUCUGAGGUGAAAGCCUUGAGCUUAACUCAAGAAGUGCCUUAGAAACGGUGAGACUGGAGUCCUGGAGAGGGUCGUGGAAUUCCCGGUGUAGCGGUGAAAUGCGUAGAGAUCGGGAGGAACACCAGCGGCGAAGGCGGCGACCUGGACAGGUACUGACACUCAACUACGAAAGCGUGGGUAGCAAACAAG
rnacentral:rRNA from 1 species